GACGAACGCUGGCGGCGUGCCUAAUACAUGCAAGUCGAACGCAGUGGGGACGGGUGAGUAACACGUGGGUAACCUCCCAUCAGAGGGGAUAAAACUUUGAAACAGGUGCUAAACGGAUAUUGAUGGAUGGACCAGCGGUGCAUUGGCAUGGUGGUGAGUUAACGGUUCACCAAGGCGACGAUGCAUAGGCGCCUUGGGAGGGGGAUCGGGCAGCCUGUGACUGAUACACGGCCCAGCCUCCGACGAGAGGCAGCAGUGGGGAAUCUUGGGCAAUGGACGAAAGUCUGACCGAGCAACGCCGCGUGAGUGAAGAAGGUUUUCGGAUCUUAAAACUCUGUUGUUAAAGAAGCGGUAUCUAACCAGAAAGCCACGGCUAACUACGUGCCAGCAGCCGCGGUAAUUC
rnacentral:rRNA from 1 species